CGCAGGAUAGAGCAGCUGGCAGCUCGUCGGGCUCAUAACCCGGAGGUCGUAGGUUCAAGUCCUACUCCUGCUA
rnacentral:tRNA from 1 species